rnacentral:rRNA from 1 species
GACGAACGCUGGCGGCGUGCUUAACACAUGCGAGUCGAACGCUGAAUCACCAGCUUGCUGGUGUGGAUGAGUGGCGAACGGGUGAGUAAUACGUGAGUAACCUGCCCUUUACUCUGGGAUAAGCCCUGGAAACUGGGUCUAAUACUGGAUGCUACAUGUCUCCGCAUGGUGGUGUGUGGAAAGGGUUUAUUGGUCUUGUAUUGGCUCACGGUCUAUCAGCUUGUUGGUGAGGUGAUCGUUCACCAAGGCGACCACGGCUAGCCGCGCUGAGAGGCUGACCGGCCAUACUGGGCCCUAGAAACGGCCGAGACCCGGCCGGGAGGCAGAAGUGGGGAAUAUUGCACCAUGAGCGAAGGCCUGAUGCAGCGACGACGCGGGAGGGAUGAAGGCCUUGGGGUUGUAAACCUUGUUCAGCAGGGACGAAGCCACUAGUGACGGUACCUGCAGAAGAAGCGCCGGCUAACUACGUG